GAUGAACGCUGGCGGCGUGCCUAAUACAUGCAAGUCGAGCGAACAGACGAGGAGCUUGCUCCUCUGACGUUAGCGGCGGACGGGCGAGUAACACGUGGAUAACCUACCUAUAAGACUGGGAUAACUUCGGGAAACCGGAGCUAAUACCGGAUAAUAUAUUGAACCGCAUGGUUCAAUAGUGAAAGACGGUUUUGCUGUCACUUAUAGAUGGAUCCGCGCCGCAUUAGCUAGUUGGUAAGGUAACGGCUUACCAAGGCAACGAUGCGUAGCCGACCUGAGAGGGUGAUCGGCCACACUGGAACUGAGACACGGUCCAGACUCCUACGGGAGGCAGCAGUAGGGAAUCUUCCGCAAUGGGCGAAAGCCUGACGGAGCAACGCCGCGUGAGUGAUGAAGGUCUUCGGAUCGUAAAGCUCUGUUAUUAGGGAAGAUCAAAUGUGUAAGUAACUAUGCACGUCUUGACGGUACCUAAUCAGAAAGCCACGGCUAACUACGUG
rnacentral:rRNA from 1 species